rnacentral:rRNA from 1 species
UACGAAGGGGGCUAGCGUUGUUCGGAAUUACUGGGCGUAAAGCGCACGUAGGCGGACUAUUAAGUCAGGGGUGAAAUCCCGGAGCUCAACUCCGGAACUGCCCUUGAAACUGCAGUGCUAGAAUCUUGGAGAGGCGAGUGGAAUUCCGAGUGUAGAGGUGAAAUUCGUAGAUAUUCGGAAGAACACCAGUGGCGAAGGCGACUCGCUGGACAAGUAUUGACGCUGAGGUGCGAAAGCGUGGGGAGCAAACAGG